rnacentral:rRNA from 1 species
UACGAAGGGGGCUAGCGUUGCUCGGAAUCACUGGGCGUAAAGGGUGCGUAGGCGGGUCUUUAAGUCGGGGGUGAAAUCCCAGAGCUCAACUCUGGAACUGCCUUUGAUACUGGGUGUCUUGAGUGUGAUAGAGGUAAGUGGAACUCCGAGUGUAGAGGUGAAAUUCGUAGAUAUUCGGAAGAACACCAGUGGCGAAGGCGACUUACUGGAUCAUUACUGACGCUGAGGCUCGAAAGCGUGGGGAGCAAACAGG